CCUACGGGAGGCAGCAGUGGGGGAUAUUGCACAAUGGGGGGAACCCUGAUGCAGCGACGCCGCGUGGGUGAAGAAGCGCCUCGGCGCGUAAAGCCCUGUUAGCAGGGAAGAAAAUGACGGUACCUGCAGAAGAAGCACCGGCUAACUACGUGCCAGCAGCCGCGGUAAUACGGAGGGGGCAAGCGUUAACCGGAUUUACUGGGCGUAAAGGGGGCGCAGUCGGGGAUGCAAGCCAGGAGUGAAAGCCUGGGGCCCAACCCUGGAACUGCUGUUGGAACUGGGUUGCUGGAGUGCAGGAGAGGUAGGCGGAAUUCGUGGUGUAGCGGUGAAAUGCGUAGAUAUCAGGAGGAAUACCGAUGGCGAAGGCGGCCUGCUGGAGUGCAACUGACGUUGAGGCCCGAAAGCGUGGGGAGCAAACAGGAUUAGAUACCCGUGUAGUC
rnacentral:rRNA from 1 species